ACUGCACACUGAGAAGACACAAUGCUUUGUAUGGUGAGGGAGUCGGCUUUCAGGAAAUUAACUUGUUUCUGUGAAUAAUGAAACUGCGCUGAGAAGGAUAUUGCAGGAGCAGGUGAAAAGCUCAGCUGUCCUUUGGCAAAAUCAGGAAAUUAACAUCUGAAAUAUGUCUGUGUUUGUAGUAUCCUUGGAUUCAUGAUGGGGGUCUGCGCUGCUUUCCAUGUGGUGAUGGGAGAUCUGGCAGUUCAGCUUUUAGAAGGGUUCAUCGGUGAGGAGGUCACCCAGAACCAGCGCAUGUUUCUUAUUUUUGCCAUCGGCUGGCUUGUUGUUCUUCCUCUCAGCCUGACACUAGCCAGCGACUCGGGGUCCUCUUGUCAACCACAGCAGUAAUCGGCUUUGCUUGCUUCAUGGUUGUGGUAAGUGAAAGGUUUUGAUUGAUUCACCUAUCUGGUGUUGUGCAGUAAUCUUUGCAAAACUGCACCUACAUUUAGCAAGCUCUGAAUUUACUCCCAAUUACAUCCAUACAAGGAUCUAUGCGUGGAACAAAUGUACACUGAACUUUGAUGGUUUGCUGUCACCUGUUGGAGAAAAGAGGUACUGCCGAUGCAGUGACGCUAGGUUGAGGAGCUCGUUCUCAUGUAUAGCACUGCAUGCAAACUGAGUGGUGGGCUAACCGAAGCUUCAUAACGGCUGGAGAGUUUAUUUCACUGCUGUCACAGCUCUCCAGUGGUCAGGAGGUGCAGGUGAGAUUCUCUCGGAUGGGUUGCUGGAGUGUCUGUCUAUCUAUGGAACUGCCUUCAGCUGCCAUCUGUAAGUAAUAUUAGUGCUAGUCAUUGGUUUGACAUUAUGCAAAGGCAGUAGAUACAGCAAUAUCUGAGCAUUUUCAACAACAACAUUUCAAAUGUACCAACAUGACGUAUUGCGUGUCAGGCUUCAAACACCGCCCUGUUUUGGAGUGACUGCUCCAGUAGUCGUUGAAGAGUUUUCUUCUCACCCCUGCUGCUUGUAUCACCUUCCUUCCAGACAGCUGCUGCCAAUGGUUUGUGUGAAAGGCCUUGACGUUUCAGAGCAGCAAACAACGCAAGCCAUUAAGCAUGCAUUUGCUGCAACCUUAGUGUUUUACACAUUGGUUGGAUCAUGUGGCUACGUGUGCUUUAUGGAUGCUGUGAAAGGUAACAUUCUCUCUAACCUGCCCUCCAGUGCCACGAUGGAGGGGGUGCGUGUGGUACUCUUGGCCUCUGUGGUGAUGAGCAUUCCUUCGAUAAUCCAGUCCUGUCGUCAGGCCAUCGGCACCCUGCUCUUCAAACAGCAGAUUAGUAGCAUGCAAAGUGUUUAGGGCAGGCAGGCCCUAGUGACAAAACUGUAACCUGUCAUGUAUGCAAAGUCUGCUCUGGUCAAUGAAAUAUAUUUUGGUAUCAAUGAGACUUCUCUGGACUGCUGUUAAAAUAUUUUUAACCAAAUUCCUCUGGGCUUCAACAACAUCAGCAAAAAGUGUGCUAAAACAAUACUAGAAGCUUAACAUUCUGUCUCUCAAUUUCAUUUGUUUUAUUUGUUUUCUUAAAUCAUACAAUGUAAAGUUCAAAAAUCUUUCAGAAUAUCAGAAUCUACAGCGUGUAAUUAAUGAAAACUGACUUUUAAAAACGGUCUUUGAAUAACUUAAUUGUUGUGACUGGAGCACAUUAUUUCGUUAUGAGAGUAUUAUUUUGUAUCGUACUGUUUUACAUUAUUUACAGACAGACAUUUCCUAAAGAGGCUCUCAUGCAUGGACACUUGUUAAUACCACAGCAAGCUUGUCAUUAACAGUUAAUAAACAAACAACAGCACCUUGUAAAUGAAAGUGUUGCCUUGUGCCUUUUUGCAAUUGAUAUUUCUUUUUAAAAAACAAAGUAAUGGCAGUCAG